UUCUUAAUGAGCUCAAUCAUAUAAUCUAUACCACAUUCUUGAUGGAGGAGAAGCUCUUCAGCCACCUUUUCAUCAAAUAUAUCUGCGAAGUUCUUAUAUGAUUUGAGGAGUUCCUUGCAGAGCUUCUUGGGGUCCUUGUGUAACAGGCGUGCCACCGAUUAAGCAGAUGUUACCAAUGUUGCAGAUUAAACCAUUCAUACCACCUGCGCAGUUUGUACAAUCUGUUUCAACAGCAAUAUCAACAGACUUGACACUAUUCUGAUAACAGUUUACAAAUUGAUUAAGAAAAGAAAGAGAAAGAAGAUCAGAAGAAGAGGUUGUACAAGAGGGUUCUUAUAGAAGAAGAAUUGAAACAGAAGAAUAUCAGAAGUUGUGCUGCAGUGAAGUGUGAAGUGAAAGAAUGUUAGAGAUUACAUGAAGAAAUUGUUAGAGACUACACAAGUGUGGAGUGGGAUCACAAGAAGAG
rnacentral:sRNA from 2 species